UGUAACAAUGAUAAUAUCAAAUGAGACAAAUGGAUAUAGAUAAGUUAAAAAGUAUAAUACCCCUUGUUGAGUUAAAUUAAAUAAGUUCAGGCAUGGAUUCUCAUAUAUGGAAAAGAGUCGUCAGAUAAGCUAUUUCCAAUGAAGUAGUCCUUAAAAGCUUCUCUCUUGCGCCAUAUAGUGGCAAUGAUUAAAGUUAAACAAGUUUAAGCAAAGGGCCAUCAGAUAUAUCAGCUUCAUAUCAAGUUAAAGUUUCUCUCUUAAGCCAAAAAGUGAACAAAUGCAGGCUCUGAAGAGUGUACCCUAUGAAGUGUGGCCCCUUUUGAAAUUUCAAUCCGUCAGUUGGCUCAUGAAAUUUGUAAUUUAAGAUGUUGCAAUUCAUGAGGACGUUAGCAGAUUCGUAAAUUGUGUAAAUUAC